GAUGAAGAACGUAGCGAAAUGCGAUAAGUAAUGUGAAUUGCAGAAUUCAGUGAAUCAUCGAAUCUUUGAACGCACAUUGCGCCCGCUAGUAUUCUGGCGGGCAUGCCUGUCCGAGCGUCAUUUCAACCCUCAAGCCCCCGGGCUUGGUGUUGGGGAUCGGCGAGCCUCCGCGCCCGCCGUCCCCUAAAUCUAGUGGCGGUCUCGCUGUAGCUUCCUCUGCGUAGUAGCACACCUCGCACUGGGAAACAGCGCGGCCACGCCGUAAAACCCCCCCCUUCUGAAAGGUUGACCUCGGAUCAGGUAGGAAUACCCGCUGAACUUAAGCAUAUCAAUAAGCGGAGGA
rnacentral:misc_RNA from 1 species